rnacentral:misc_RNA from 1 species
UUUUCCCUCGCCAGGGUGAGCCCGACACUCGUGCACCAAUCGUUGGCGAUCCUUAGCAUCGUGUUGACCUUGACGGAGGCCUCUUCGUUCCUCCCGACGGAACAUGUGAUGGCCAGAUCAUCCGCGAAGGCGGUUGCUCUGACCAUUGGCAUGUUGUCGAAUCUCUCGAGCAACCGGUCGUAUACCAAGUUCCACAGGAAUGGUCCGAGGAUGGAUCCCUGCGGAACUCCCGCCGCCACCUCGUGCUCCACCGUGCCGUGCUGGUUGCUCACGAUGAUCCUCCUUCCGGAUAGAUGUUGGCAAACUUCAUCACCUGCGUGAUGGCAUCUACCGUACUCCUCUUCUUUCUGAAGCCAUAUUGCCUCCGAUGGAACGGGUCCAUUCCGAUGCAUCUCUCGAUGAUCUUCUUAAAGCAUUUUUCCCAGAUCUUGCUCGUG